UGCGUAGGUGGCGGGGUAAGUCGGAUGUGAAAGCUCGGAGCUCAACUCCGAAAUUGCAUUGGAAACUACCUUGCUCGAGGGUUGGAGGGGGGACUGGAAUGCUUGGUGUAGCAGUGAAAUGCGUAGAUAUCAAGCGGAACACCAGUGGCGAAGGCGAGUCCCUGGACAACUCCUGACACUGAGCAACGAAAGCGUAGGGAGCAAACA
rnacentral:rRNA from 1 species